GGAACCCUCAGAAUUCCAGUUGAGCUUGAAUGGCAUUCAAGAGGUCAGGGGUUCGACUCCCCUUGGCUCCACCA
rnacentral:tRNA from 1 species